UUUAACAUGAGAGUUUGAUCCUGGCUCAGGAUGAACGCUGGCGGCGUGCCUAACACAUGCAAGUCGAACGGAAUUUACAUGAAGCCUAGCGAUUGUAAAUUUAGUGGCGGACGGGUGAGUAACGCGUGGGUAACCUGCCUUGUACUGGGGGACAACAGUUGGAAACGACUGCUAAUACCGCAUAAGCGCACAGCUUCGCAUGAAGCAGU
rnacentral:rRNA from 1 species